GAUGAACGCUAGCUACAGGCUUAACACAUGCAAGUCGAGGGGAAACGAUAGAGAAAGCUUGCUUUUUCUAGGCGUCGACCGGCGCACGGGUGAGUAACGCGUAUCCAACCUGCCCAUCACUUGGGGAUAACCUUGCGAAAGUAAGACUAAUACCCAAUGACGUCUCUAGAAGACAUCUGAAAGAGAUUAAAGAUUUAUCGGUGAUGGAUGGGGGUGCGUCUGAUUAGCUUGUUGGCGGGGUAACGGCCCACCAAGGCGACGAUCAGUAGGGGCUCUGAGAUGAAGGUCCCCCGCAUUGGAACUGAGACACGAUCCAAACUCCAACGGGAGGCAGCAGUGAGGAAUAUUGGUCAAUGGACGAGAGUCUGAACCAGCCAAGUAGCGUGCAGGAUGACGGCCCUAUGGGUUGUAAACUGCUUUUAUAAGGGAAUAAAGUGAGUCCCGUGAGACUUUUUGCAUGUACCUUAUGAAUAAGGACCGGCUAAUUCCGUGCCAGCCGCCGCAGUAACAC
rnacentral:rRNA from 1 species